rnacentral:rRNA from 1 species
CUGGGCGUAAGCGCGCGUAGGUGGUUAAUUAAGUCAAAUGUGAAAUCCCCGAGCUUAACUUGGGAAUUGCAUUCGAUACUGGUUAGCUAGAGUAUGGGAGAGGAUGGUAGAAUUCCAGGUGUAGCGGUGAAAUGCGUAGAGAUCUGGAGGAAUACCGAUGGCGAAGGCAGCCAUCUGGCCUAAUACUGACACUGAGGUGCGAAAGCAUGGGGAGCAAACAGGAUUAGAUACCCUGGUAGUCCAUGCCGUAAACGAUGUCUACUAGCCGUUGGGGGAUUUGAUCCUUUAGUGGCGCAGCUAACGCGAUAAGUAGACCGCCUGGGGAGUACGGUCGCAAGACUAAAACUCAAAUGAAUUGACGGGGGCCCGCACAAGCGGUGGAGCAUGUGGUUUAAUUCGAUGCAACGCGAAGAACCUUACCUGGCCUUGACAUAGUAGAGACUUUCCAGAGAUGGAUUGGUGCCUUCGGGAAUCUACAUACAGGUGCUGCAUGGCUGUCGUCAGCUCGUGUCGUGAGAUGUUGGGUUAAGUCCCGCAACGAGCGCAACCCUUUUCCUUACUUGCCAGCAUUUCGGAUGGGAACUUUAAGGAUACUGCCAGUGACAAACUGGAGGAAGGCGGGGACGACGUCAAGUCAUCAUGGCCCUUACGGCCAGGGCUACACACGUGCUACAAUGGUCGGUACAAAGGGUUGCUACACAGCGAUGUGAUGCUAAUCUCAAAAAGCCGAUCGUAGUCCGGAUCGCAGUCUGCAACUCGACUGCGUGAAGUCGGAAUCGCUAGUAAUCGCGGAUCAGAAUGCCGCGGUGAAUACGUUCCCGGGCCUUGUACACACCGCCCGUCACACCAUGGGAGUUUGUUGCACCAGAAGUAGGUAGUCUAACCGCAAGGAGGACGCUUACCACGGUGUGCCGAUGACUG